GAUGUGUCCAUAUCUCCCCUUGCUGCAUCCAUUAAAAAACCAAGUUGAAGAGAUAAAAAUAAUGUGCAAUCCUCUUAUUUGAUAAUGUUUUUAUUAAAGACUAACUAGAGAGAAAUAAAAUAGAUAGCAGCAAAGAAAUAUUUACAGAGGGCGGAGGAGAUAGAGAAAAGCAGCUCCUCAUCAUUUGUUAGUGUAGAUAGUUGUAAAAAAAUUGUUUUGAGAACUGUCCUUGUAUCAAUUUGGAAAAGGCUUAUGAUAAUAUUCCAAGAUAUGUCUUAUAGAGAGUGUUAGAACAAAAGAGGGU
rnacentral:misc_RNA from 1 species